GGCGCAGGUUGGAUGGUCGCCUCUGUCUUUAGACAGGGGAGGAAAGUCCGGGCUCCACAGGGUAGCAUAGCGGGUAAUGCCCGUCUCCGCCAAAAAAACACGGCGGAAGGAUUAGAGCCACAGAGACGAGUCUGAGAGGCGUUUUAUGGUAACGUAGUAGCUUAAGCGUACGUUGCCUGCUUUUCAGGGUGAAACGCGGUAAUCUCUAUGCGGAGCAAAACCAAAUAGGUCUCGCUAGGAAGAACGGCCCGUUCAGUAGAGCGAGACGGGUAGGUUGCACGAUCCCGGCAGCAAUGUCGGGGCAAGAUAGAUGACUAUCAUCCGCCAAAUGCGGAGACAGAACCCGGCUUACAGGCCUGCGCCGUAU
rnacentral:RNase_P_RNA from 1 species